rnacentral:rRNA from 1 species
GUUAGAACGCUCGUAGUCGGAUUUCGGGGCGGGCCGACCGGUCUGCCGAUGGGUAUGCACUGGUCGGCGCGUCCUUCCUUCCGGAGACCGUGCCUACUCUUAACUGAGCGGGGGCGGGAGACGGAUCGUUUACUUUGAAAAAAUCAGAGUGUUUCAAGCAGGCAGCUCGCUCUUGCAUGGAUUAGCAUGGGAUAAUGAAAUAGGACUUUGGUGCUAUUUUGUUGGUUUCGAACACCGAAGUAAUGAUUAACAGGGACAGUCAGGGGCACUCGUAUUCCGCCGAGAGAGGUGAAAUUCUCAGACCAGCGGAAGACGAACUACUGCGAAAGCAUUUGCCAGGGAUGUUUUCACUGAUCAAGAACGAAAGUUAGGGGAUCGAAGACGAUCAGAUACCGUCGUAGUCUUAACCAUAAACCAUGCCGACUAGGGAUUGGAGGAUGUUCACUGAUUGACUCCUUCAGCACCUUACGGGAAACUAAAGUCUUUGGGUUCCGGGGGGAGUAUGGUCGCAAGGCUGAAACUUAAAGGAAUUGACGGAAGGGCACCACCAGGUGUGGAGCCUGCGGCUUAAUUUGACUCAACACGGGGAAACUUACCAGGUCCAGACAUUGUGAGGAUUGACAGAUUGAGAGCUCUUUCUUGAUUCGAUGGGUGGUGGUGCAUGGCCGUUCUUAGUUGGUGGAGUGAUUUGUCUGGUUAAUUCCGUUAA